rnacentral:rRNA from 1 species
UACGAAGGGGGCUAGCGUUGCUCGGAAUCACUGGGCGUAAAGCGCACGUAGGCGGAUCUUUAAGUCAGGGGUGAAAUCCUGGAGCUCAACUCCAGAACUGCCUUUGAUACUGGGGAUCUCGAGUCCGGAAGAGGUGAGUGGAACUCCGAGUGUAGAGGUGAAAUUCGUAGAUAUUGGGAGGAACACCAGUGGCGAAGGCGGCUCACUGGGCCGGUUCUGACGCUGAGGCGCGAAAGCGUGGGGAGCAAACGGG